UACGUAGGGGGGCAAGCGUUGUCCGGAUUUAUUGGGCGUAAAGCGCGUGUAGGCGGCUGGGUAGGUCCGCUGUGAAAACUUGAGGCUCAACCUCAAGAGGUCGGUGGAAACCCUCCAGCUAGAGUCCGGAAGAGGAGAAUGGAAUUCCUGGUGUAGCGGUGAAAUGCGUAGAUAUCGGGAGGAACACCAGUGGCGAAGGCGGCGACCUGGACGGACACUGACGCUGAGACGCGAAAGCGUGGGGAGCAAACAGGAUUAGAAACCCUU
rnacentral:rRNA from 1 species